AGUGUAAAUCCAAACAGCAACGCUCCUGAGUUUGUGUCCCACGUCACCUUCAGUCCGCUCAGAGCAGAGGAAUCAUUUCCAUAGAGAGGAGGCUUUGCAUCGUCAGCUGAUCCUCCACUGAACUGAGAAGCUUUAUAGUCCUGUGACUCCAACUCUGCAGGACUCAGACCCGUCAGUCGACCACAACCACCAUGACUCUCAUCACCCUCCUCAUCUGGACGCUGGCCUGCUGCAGCUUCACAGGAUGCAGCGGCCAGAUGACUGUGACUCAGCCUCCAGUCGUGACUUUUACUCCAGAAUCCACUGUAACACUGACCUGUAACACUAACCCCAGUGUUUGGAGGAAUAGUGCUGGUGAUGAUUAUAUGUCCUGGUACCAGCAAAAACCUGGACAGGUUCCCAAGCUUCUUAUAUACUCAGCAUCAACUCUAUAUUCAGGAACUCCCUCUCGAUUCAGUGGCAGUGGCUCUGGUUCUAGCUUCACCUUAACCAUCAGCGGUGUUCAGGCUGAAGAUGUUGGAGAUUAUUACUGUUUAGGUUUACAUAGCAGUGGAGUGUUCACACAGUGAUUUAGAGCCGUACAAAAACCUCCCUCAGUUUGACAGAAGUGAAACUGGUCUGCUGCAGCUGCACAGAGAAUAACUGGUCCAGUGAACACAACACAAGUCUUCAAGCAGAGCGACAAUGAAGCUAAACACAACUGAAACAAACCCCACACACACUUCUCGUUUUGUAUUCUCCUCAUUCACUUCCCGCUCUGAAGCUACUGACCGAACCUGGCACCGUACAUCAGUCCAAACAAAAAGCUCCAGGUUAUUAUUAUAGAUUUUGAAAUAAAUGCUUUAAUGCUUCAUAUGUAGUAUCCUCUACUGACGUGCAGAGAAGAGACACAACUGAAACCAUCUCCUGCACUGUCUGACACUGCAAUGAUCCAGACUGGAGGUUUUGCAAAGUGUAAAAUGUUGAAAGCAAAACAAACACACUAAUUUAUUGUGACACACAGUUUUAUUAAUUGAUGAUUAUGAUAAUUUGAUGA